rnacentral:rRNA from 1 species
CCUACGGGUGGCAGCAGUGAGGAAUAUUGGUCAAUGGGCGUAAGUCUGAACCAGCCAAGUCGCGUGAAGGAUGACGGCUCUAUGGAUUGUAAACCUCUUUUAUAAGGGAAUAAAGCGAGGCACGUGUCCCGUUUUGCAUGUACUUUAUGAAUAAGGAUCGGCUAACUCCGUGCCAGCAGCCGCGGUAAUACGGAGGAUCCGAGCGUUAUCCGGAUUUAUUGGGUUUAAAGGGAGCGUAGGUGGGUUGUUAAGUCAGUUGUGAAAGUUUGCGGCUCAACCGUAAAAUUGCCGUUGAAACUGGAAGACUUGAGUGUGUUUGAGGCAGGCGGAAUGCGUGGUGUAGCGGUGAAAUGCAUAGAUAUCACGCAGAACCCCGAUUGCGAAGGCAGCUUACUAAGCCAUAACUGACACUGAAGCACGAAAGCGUGGGGAUCAAACAGGAUUAGAUACCCGUGUAGUC